rnacentral:rRNA from 1 species
UACGUAGGGUGCGAGCGUUAAUCGGAAUUACUGGGCGUAAAGCGUGCGCAGGCGGUUCGCUAAGACCGAUGUGAAAUCCCCGGGCUUAACCUGGGAACUGCAUUGGUGACUGGCGGGCUAGAGUGUGGCAGAGGGGGGUAGAAUUCCACGUGUAGCAGUGAAAUGCGUAGAGAUGUGGAGGAACACCGAUGGCGAAGGCAGCCCCCUGGGUCAAGACUGACGCUCAUGCACGAAAGCGUGGGGAGCAAACAGG